CAGAAUAAGGGGUGGGCAAGCCUGGUGUCAGCCGCCGCGGUAAUACAGCACCCCGAGUGGUCGGGACGAUUAUUGGGCCUAAAGCAUCCGUAGCCGGUUCUACAAGUCUUCCGUUAAAUCCACCUGCUUAACAGUUGGGCUGCAGAGGAUACUAUAGAGCUAGGAGGCGGGAGAGGCAAGCGGUACUUAGUGGGUAGGGGUAAAAUCCGUUGAUCCACUGAAGACCACCAGUGGCGAAAGCGGCUUGCCAGAACGCGCUCGACGGUGAGGGAUGAAAGCUGGGGGAGCAAACCGGAUUAGAUACCCGGGUAGUCCCAGCUGUAAACGAUGCAGACUCGGUGAUGAAUAGGCUUCGUGCCUAUUCAGUGCCGCAGGGAAGCCGUUAAGUCUGCCGCCUGGGGAGUACGGUCGCAAGACUGAAACUUAAAGGAAUUGGCGGGGGAGCACCACAAGGGGUGAAGCCUGCGGUUCAAUUGGAGUCAACGCCGGGAAUCUUACCGGGGGCGACAGCGGAAUGAAGGUCAAGCUGAAGACUUUACCAGACAAGCUGAGAGGAGGUGCAUGGCCGUCGCCAGCUCGUGCCGUGAGGUGUCCUGUUAAGUCAGGUAACGAGCGAGAUCCCUGCCUCUAGUUGCUACCAUUGCUCUCAGGAGUAAUGGGGCUAAUUAGAGGGACUGCCGUCGCUGAGACGGAGGAAGGAGGGGGCUACGGCAGGUCAGUAUGCCCCGAAACCCUCGGGCCACACGCGGGCUGCAAUGGUAAGGACAAUAAGUUCCUAGUCCGAAAGGAGGAGGUAAUCUCCAAACC
rnacentral:rRNA from 1 species